rnacentral:rRNA from 1 species
GUGGGGAAUAUUGCACAAUGGGCGAAAGCCUGAUGCAGCAACGCCGCGUGAGGGACGACGGCCUUCGGGUUGUAAACCUCUUUUAGUAGGGAAGAAGCGAAAGUGACGGUACCUGCAGAAAAAGCACCGGCUAACUACGUGCCAGCAGCCGCGGUAAUACGUAGGGUGCAAGCGUUAUCCGGAAUUAUUGGGCGUAAAGAGCUCGUAGGCGGUCUGUCGCGUCUGCUUUGAAAACUGGAGGCUCAACCUCCAGCCUGCAGUGGGUACGGGCAGACUAGAGUGCGGUAGGGGAGAUUGGAAUUCCUGGUGUAGCGGUGGAAUGCGCAGAUAUCAGGAGGAACACCGAUGGCGAAGGCAGAUCUCUGGGCCGUAACUGACGCUGAGGAGCGAAAGCGUGGGGAGCGAACAGGAUUAGAUACCCGUGUAGUCC